CGUAGGUAUGCACCUAUGAAGUUGCUUCGCAACCCGCCAUUAAAACUCUAAAGAAGAAGGUGCUAACAGGGACAACCGAAACCGUAGGUAUGCACCUAUGAAGUUGCUUCGCAACCCGCCAUUAAAACUCUAAAGAAGAAGGUGCUGUUCACGGGCUCAUUUGACUACGCAUAGUACUGUAUUAGAGACUGAAACGGUUGGAGUUUCUACAUUUGUGUUGUACUGAAGAAACAAAAUCACAUACAUCUUGGAUGGCCUCGGGACCCUUUUGCCAGUAUGAAGCCGAUUUCAACGGUAACUGCAGAAAGCGUCAGCACGCUCAGCUCAUCACUGGAGUAACGUAUGUACAACAGGUAAUCUUGCUUUUGCUGUUCUAAAAUAAACACUGCUCUUAGGUAAGAAUGGCUGAUCAAAUGCAUUAUUUUAAAUCUAAUCUGAGACACAAAGCAGUUAAAUCGUUGUCUAAUUUGCUGCAAGGUAUUAAGAACGACAGUAAGCUUGUUGACGAUGAUCUGACUGAUGACUGAUAUGUGUGAUGAGAUUAAAACUAGGGCUGUGCAAAAAAUCGAUACAGCUAACUACCAUGAUAGUUAGCUGUAUCGAUAGUGUGUCGAUAUUUCGAUUUCUACUGUCGAUAUUUUAAAAACCAUCAAAUCCCUCUGUGUGCGUCAAACGACCUCCUCGCCGCUGCUGUAGUUGUCACUGUCCAGUUGUCUGCCAUAUACGGCCAUUCGGUCAAUGUCUCAGAAGUUAGAGGGAGUGAGAAAAUGGCAGAAAAUUUAAAAACACCUGCAGCUUUCAAAGAGCUGCAGGUGUUCAGCUCUAUUUUUUACAUUUUUGAUUGUAUUGUGAUACGUAUCGUAUCAUGACCCAUGUAUCGUGACACGUAUCGUAUCGGGAGGCCCUUGCCAAUACCCAGCCCUAAUUAAAACAACUUUUCUUUUAGCACACCACCCAUACAUGGCACACAAAACAGGUCUUGUGAGGGGGCUGUGCCCACAGGUAGAAAUUCUGUAGGUCCACGGGCUUCUCCCCUUUCAGCGAACAUCACAGCGCUUAGUCCACCAUCGUGGUCUCCAAUCUCCAUUACCAACAGCCUGAGUGCUACACCUACAGACACCCCAACCCAUGCAGCAGCUGGCAGAAGUCAGACAUCAGGCCAAACUGGAUUUCAACACACCCCAACCUUACAUGGCACACAAGUAUAUGACACACAACACAGGUCUUCUCAGGAGGCUGUGCCUACAGCAAUAGGCUUUACGCCCAGCUGCACUACUUCCUGAACUUCAGCCAGCUCCUUGUUUCCUGUCUGCCAUUAUUGGACAAACUGAUUAAUCCAGGUGUGCCUGAGCUUAGUAGUCACAACAACAAUAAUCAGACACACCUGGAUUUAUCAGUUUGUCCAGUAAUGGCAGACAGGAAACAAGGAGCUGGCUGAAAUUCAGGAAGUAGUGCAGCUGGGCAUAAAGCCUAUUGCUAAGGAGAUCCUCAUCCAGCUCGAUUUUAUUAGAGAGCAGCAGUUGCAGACUUCACCCCAGACCCAACACAUUUUGGGCUCCCACUUUCAACUAUUGAGGAGCUACAAUGUUUGUAGGAGACAUUAAAUAAUCCAGAUGAGAAGAAGAAUUUGACUGUUUUUCCUGGAAUGGUCGGAGACAAGACUCUUAAAGACACCGGGUCCUGAAAAAAACAAUAAACUCUUCGUGGCGAGACUCAUCAAUUGAAGUGAGGUCAACUGAAAGCCUGCAUUCAAAGGGCUCACUUUGAAAAGUGUGGUUUUGGAUGCAGUCUGCCGGAAUGCCCUGACCAAAGAUAACACAGAAAAGGAGAUAGAGCUCCUCAUCACCAGGUGGUCGGUGCUAGCAUAUGACAGGGAUGGUGGCCGAAUCCAGACAAUAGACAGACAAUGAAUUAAAAUGUUUUAAAUUUAAAAAUGUUGAUUUUUGGAAAAUUCGUAUUUGAACUGAUUGUGUGUGUGUGUGUGCACCUGGUAAUUAUCACAUUGUGUCCCCACAAAGAUAGGAAUACCAGUAUUUUUGUGACCUUGUGUCCCCAUGAGGAAACAAGCUUAUAAAUCAAACAAAAUGAUGUUUCUUGUAAAUGUGAAGUAGGAGAAGGGUUUCUGUGAUGGUUGGGUUUAGGGAAUGGGGUAGGUAAGGGGAAUAAAAUAUACAGUUUGUAUGGUAUACAAUGCAUUACGUCUAUGGAAUGUCCCCACAAAACAUGGAAACCUGUUUGUGUGUACGAGAGAGAGAGAAUGUGUGUUCAAGUGAAUAAAAAAUGCAUUAAACGUGAAAUCCUUGUUCUUCCUUGUGUGUUUUAUUUUCAGUUAAUGUUGCAUAAUGGUUGCUUAGCAAUUUUAGUAUUAACCAAUCAAUAAAAUCAAUCAAUUAAACAAGCCCAAAUAAGGAACAGGAUUGGAGGGGAGCUUACGUCCUCUCACUCGGGGUUCCGCAAUCGGGCCGCGUUAAAACUGGGUGCUCGGCCGUGUCUUCGGGGCGCGUGAAAACCGAGCGCUCGCAGAGCAAUCGGACCUAGAUUCAUGCCGAGGAUCGGCCGAGUGUUCCAGCAUUAAUCGUUCCGCUUUCGGCCCGCGCAAUUUUUGCUAGCUGAAAACCUAAAAUAACCACAGACACGUGAAUAAAAUAUCUAACGUGAACUAGCUAGUUACUGUACAUACAUUGCUUAUUAUCAAAGAAAUUUCUAGUUAACUGAUCCCACACCCAGCAUUAUUAAAAUGUAUUAUUACUACAUACCUUAAACAAAUGUUCCCUUAAAUCGCCAGACCAGGACAGGUUUCUUUCUUGCCCUUCUUCUUUUGCAUUGCGACGUCGAUAUAAGUGCAUGGUGUGGUGUAGCACGAAUUUAACGCAAAGACGCUCAUAUUAAUAAUAUACACGAUAUUGACGAUUAAU